rnacentral:snRNA from 1 species
GUGCUUACUUCAGCAGCACAUGCACUACAACUGGAACAAAGCAGAGAAGAUGGCCCAAGGUAAUGAUGACACACAAAUUCACAAAGUGGUCCACUAUUUU